GACGAACGCUGGCGGCGUGCUUAACACAUGCAAGUCGAACGGAAAGGCCCUGCUUUUGUGGGGUGCUCGAGUGGCGAACGGGUGAGUAACACGUGAGUAACCUGCCCUUGACUUUGGGAUAACUUCAGGAAACUGGGGCUAAUACCGGAUAGGAGCUCCUGCUGCAUGGUGGGGGUUGGAAAGUUUCGGCGGUUGGGGAUGGACUCGCGGCUUAUCAGCUUGUUGGUGGGGUAGUGGCUUACCAAGGCUUUGACGGGUAGCCGGCCUGAGAGGGUGACCGGCCACAUUGGGACUGAGAUACGGCCCAGACUCCUACGGGAGGCAGCAGUGGAGAAUAUUGCACAAUGGGCGGACGCCUGAUGCAGCAACGCCGCGUGCGGAAUGACGGCCUUCGAGUUGUAAACCGCUUUCGCCUGUGACGAAGCGUGAGUGACGGUAAUGGGUAAAGAAGCACCGGCUAACUACGUG
rnacentral:rRNA from 1 species